CCAACCAUGUCUUUACAUUCCUUUUCCUUGUCUGUAUUAUCAUCUUCACCUAUCACAUCAUGACUCAGUUGCAACUUCCUCUCUGCUCUCUGCAUGAUAACCUACAAGGGAGGGGUAUUCAUUCAAUUCAAAGUCAAACAAUGGGACCAAGUCAAAGGAGAGAGAGAGAAAGAGGGAUGGUAGUAUUGCAAAGCUCACAGUGUCAGCAGCUACAAGAUUUAACCCAACUCCCCCUGCUCUGGUGGAAAUCAUGAAGACAAAUGCAGAGUCGGAAUCAGCUUCGGAAUUGGAAUUUCCAAUUCCGGACUUUCGGCUAAAACUUCUUAUUGCAGCAAACCGCUCUUCAGCCCUAAUGGAUCCAUCAAGCCGCUCAUAAGGGUAUUUUCUCAACUCCAUGUAGUCCUGUAUUUCAAAAUUUUCCAAAAAAGUUAAAUGGAUAUACAUAAACAUGGCUGAGUAGCUGACAGCUGGCAGUUUUAUUUAUGCAAAAAGAAGGAAGUAAACCUGCAAUACAUCAAGUGUGUGUGUCAUCUGUGCGAACAGAAGAACACGGUGUCCAGAAGUAUGUAGCUUCUGAAGUAGCUGGUCUAAGACUACCAGUUUUCCACUUGCCUGAAAGAAAUCAAAAAAGAUUUUAAAUUUAUUACUAACAUUUUUGUAUGAUUUUAUAAAUAAAUAGAGAUAUGAUAUGUUUUUAUACCUGAA